rfam:Peptoniphilus asaccharolyticus DSM 20463 genome assembly, contig: Pasa20463_Contig224
GAAAGCCGUAUACAUCGAGAGGUGUACGUACGGUUUGGGGGCGAGUAUCUAAAAACCUACAUUAGAAAUAAUGCAAGGCGUUGGAUACUUAGCCUGC